UACGUAGGGUGCGAGCGUUAAUCGGAAUUACUGGGCGUAAAGCGUGCGCAGGCGGUUUUGUAAGACAGGCGUGAAAUCCCCGGGCUCAACCUGGGAAUGGCGCUUGUGACUGCAAAGCUGGAGUGCGGCAGAGGGGGAUGGGAAUUCCGCGGUGUAGCAGUGAAAUGCGUAGAUAAUGCGGAGGAACACCGAUGGCGGAAGGCAAUCCCCUGGGCCUGCACUGACGCUCCAGUGCACGAAAGCGUGGGGAGCAAACAGGA
rnacentral:rRNA from 1 species